rnacentral:rRNA from 1 species
AGUUAAUUCUAUGGCUAAGCUACUAAGGGCGCACGGUGGAUGCCUUGGCAGAAUCAGGCGAUGAAGGACGUGGCAAGCUGCGAUAAGCUUCGGGGAGCCGCACACAGGCGCUAUAUCCGAAGAUCUCCGAAUGGGGAAACCCUCCCGAGCAAACCUCGGGAACGGCCCGCUGAAUCCAUAGGCGGGUACGAGCGAACCCAGGGAAGUGAACCAUCUCAGUACCUGGAGGAAAAGAAAGAAACCUCGAUUCCGAAAGUAGUGGCGAGCGAAAUCGGAACAGCCCAAACCCGUACCAUUUCGGUGGUGCGGGGGUUGUAGGGUCCGCAACAGUAGAGUUACCAAUCCGGCCGCUAGUCGAACCCUCUGGAAAGGGGGCCCACAGAGCGUGACAGGCGCGUAGACGAAAGCGAACCGGACUCGAAGCGGAUUCCUGAGUAAGGCGGAGCACGUGAAACUCUGUCUGAACCCGCGGGGACCAUCCCGCAAGGCUAAAUACUCGAUUCUGACCGAUAGUGAACCAGUACCGUGAGGGAAAGGCGAAAAGCACCCCUGUGAGGGGAGUGAAAAGUACCUGAAACCGUGUGCCUACAAGCAGUGGGAGGGCUAUGCCUCGCAAGAGGAAUGCCUGACCGCGUGCCUAUUGCAUAAUGAGCCGGCUAGUU